ensembl:snRNA U1 U1 spliceosomal RNA
UCACUUACCUGGCAAGGGCAAUGCCAGGCUCAUGAAGGUGGUUUUCCCCAGGGCGAGGCUUAUCCAUUGCACCCUGGGAUCCAUGCUGACCCCCACGAUUUCCCCAAAUGUGGGAAAUUCAAUUGCAUAAUAUGUGGCUGCAGGGGACUACAUUUGCAUUUUCCCCUG